GCCUCCGUAGCUCAACGGAUAGAGCAACGGCCUUCUAAUCCGUAGGUUGUGGGUUCGAAUCCCGCCGGAGGCACCA
rnacentral:tRNA from 1 species